GAUGAACGCUGGCGGCGUGCCUAAUACAUGCAAGUCGAGCGAACGGACGAGAAGCUUGCUUCUCUGAUGUUAGCGGCGGACGGGUGAGUAACACGUGGAUAACCUACCUAUAAGACUGGGAUAACUUCGGGAAACCGGAGCUAAUACCGGAUAAUAUUUUGAACCGCAUGAUUCAAAAGUGAAAGACGGUCUUGCUGUCACUUAUAGAUGGAUCCGCGCUGCAUUAGCUAGUUGGUAAGGUAACGGCUUACCAAGGCAACGAUGCAUAGCCGACCUGAGAGGGUGAUCGGCCACACUGGAACUGAGACACGGUCCAGACUCCUACGGGAGGCAGCAGUAGGGAAUCUUCCGCAAUGGGCGAAAGCCUGACGGAGCAACGCCGCAUGAGUGAUGAAGGUCUUCGGAUCGUAAAACUCUGUUAUUAGGGAAGAACAUAUGUGUAAGUAACUGUGCACAUCUUGACGGUACCUAAUCAGAAAGCCACGGCUAACUACGUG
rnacentral:rRNA from 1 species